GGGUAGCGGAGAAAUUCCAAUCGAACUUGGAGAUAGCUGGUUCUCUCCGAAAUAGCUUUAGGGCUAGCCUCAAGUGAUGAUUAUUGGAGGUAGAGCACUGUUUGGACGAGGGGCCCCUCUCGGGUUACCGAAUUCAGACAAACUCCGAAUGCCAAUUAAUUUAACUUGGGAGUCAGAACAUGGGUGAUAAGGUCCGUGUUCGAAAGGGAAACAGCCCAGACCACCAGCUAAGGUCCCAAAAUAUAUGUUAAGUGGAAAAGGAUGUGGCGUUGCCCAGACAACUAGGAUGUUGGCUUAGAAGCAGCCAUCAUUUAAAGAGUGCGUAAUAGCUCACUAGUCGAGUGACACUGCGCCGAAAAUGUACCGGGGCUAAACAUAUUACCGAAGCUGUGGAUUGUCCUUUGGACAAUGGUAGGAGAGCGUUCUAAGGGCGUCGAAGCAUGAUCGCAAGGACAUGUGGAGCGCUUAGAAGUGAGAAUGCCGGUGUGAGUAGCGAAAGACGGGUGAGAAUCCCGUCCACCGAUUGACUAAGGUUUCCAGAGGAAGGCUCGUCCGCUCUGGGUUAGUCGGGUCCUAAGCUGAGGCCGACAGGCGUAGGCGAUGGAUAACAGGUUGAUAUUCCUGUACCACCUAGUAUCGUUUUAAUCGAUGGGGGGACGCAGUAGGAUAGGCGAAGCGUGCUGUUGGAGUGCACGUCCAAGCAGUAAGGCUGAGUGUUAGGCAAAUCCGGCACUCAUAAGGCUGAGCUGUGAUGGGGAGAGGAAAUUGUUUCCUCGAGUCGUUGAUUUCACACUGCCGAGAAAAGCCUCUAGAUAGAUAACAGGUGCCCGUACCGCAAACCGACACAGGUAGUCAAGAUGAGAAUUCUAAGGUGAGCGAGCGAACUCUCGUUAAGGAACUCGGCAAAAUGACCCCGUAACUUCGGGAGAAGGGGUGCUCUUUAGGGUUCACGCCCAGAAGAGCCGCAGUGAAUAGGCCCAAGCGACUGUUUAUCAAAAACACAGGUCUCUGCUAAACCGUAAGGUGAUGUAUAGGGGCUGACGCCUGCCCGGUGCUGGAAGGUUAAGAGGAGUGGUUAGCUUCUGCGAAGCUACGAAUCGAAGCCCCAGUAAACGGCGGCCGUAACUAUAACGGUCCUAAGGUAGCGAAAUUCCUUGUCGGGUAAGUUCCGACCCGCACGAAAGGCGUAACGAUUUGGGCACUGUCUCAACGAGAGACUCGGUGAAAUCAUAGUACCUGUGAAGAUGCAGGUUACCCGCGACAGGACGGAAAGACCCCGUGGAGCUUUACUGUAGCCUGAUAUUGAAAUUCGGCACAGCUUGUACAGGAUAGGUAGGAGCCUUUGAAACGUGAGCGCUAGCUUACGUGGAGGCGUUGGUGGGAUACUACCCUAGCUGUGUUGGCUUUCUAACCCGCACCACUUAUCGUGGUGGGAGACAGUGUCAGGCGGGCAGUUUGACUGGGGCGGUCGCCUCCUAAAAGGUAACGGAGGCGCUCAAAGGUUCCCUCAGAAUGGUUGGAAAUCAUUCAUAGAGUGUAAAGGCAUAAGGGAGCUUGACUGCGAGACCUACAAGUCGAGCAGGGUCGAAAGACGGACUUAGUGAUCCGGUGGUUCCGCAUGGAAGGGCCAUCGCUCAACGGAUAAAAGCUACCCCGGGGAUAACAGGCUUAUCUCCCCCAAGAGUUCACAUCGACGGGGAGGUUUGGCACCUCGAUGUCGGCUCAUCGCAUCCUGGGGCUGUAGUCGGUCCCAAGGGUUGGGCUGUUCGCCCAUUAAAGCGG
rnacentral:rRNA from 1 species